GUCGAGAAUCUUUCACAAUGGGGGCAACCCUGAUGGAGCGACGCCGCGUGGAGGAUAAGGUCUUCGGAUUGUAAACUCCUGUCAUGCGUGAACAAGGUUGCUUGGUUAAUACCUGGGCAAAUUGAUGGUAACGCAAGAGGAAGAGACGGCUAACUCUGUGCCAGCAGCCGCGGUAAUACAGAGGUCUCAAGCGUUGUUCGGAAUCACUGGGCGUAAAAGGUGCGUAGGUGGCGUGGUAAGUCAGAUGUGAAAGCCCGGGGCUCAACCUCGGAACUGCAUCCGAUACUGCCAUGCUAGAGUACUGGAGAGGUGACUAGAAUUCUCGGUGUAGCAGUGAAAUGCGUAGAUAUCGAGAGGAAUACCAAAGGCGUAGGCAGGUCACUGGACAGUUACUGACACUGAGGCACGAAGGCCAGGGGAGCGAACGGGAUUAGAAACCCGUGUAGUCC
rnacentral:rRNA from 1 species